rnacentral:rRNA from 1 species
UACGUAGGGUGCAAGCGUUGUCCGGAAUUAUUGGGCGUAAAGAUCUCGUAGGCGGUCUGUCGCGUCGGAUGUGAAAAUCCAGGGCUCAACCCUGGACCUGCAUUCGAUACGGGCAGACUAGAGUUCGGUAGGGGAGACUGGAAUUCCUGGUGUAGCGGUGAAAUGCGCAGAUAUCAGGAGGAACACCGGUGGCGAAGGAGGAUCUCUGGGAAGAAACUGACGCUGAGGAGCGAAAGAGUGGGGAGCAAACAGG